GGUUCCACCUGUCUCCAGAUUAUUUCCCUGUAAGUCUGGGAUGUGGCACAGUGGACAGAGGCCAGGCCUGAAGUCAGGAAGAUGUCUUUCUGAGUUCAAAUCUGGCCUCAGACA